CUUGCUCUUUCUGAAGUGAAAUGACAGGCAGCAGUUUACAGCAAAGUCGCACCGUUCUCUCCAUAGGCGCCCAUGCAAACUGAAUCAUCUGGCUCAUGGAGGGAGAGUGUGUUUUUGAAUCACCGCCGCUCGGUCAUUUCUCACAAUAUCUGGAAAAUAAUUACAUUUCUGGUUAGCCACAGGCUUCCUCUCGCUCACGGUUAUGUCACUUUUCAGCUGAGAUUAACGGUUAUUCCGUAAUUACCGCCAUAACGCGACAUCGCGCCGUGCUGAGAACCAGGAAGUAAAACUAACACUUCAAAUGGGGCAAGAUACGCUUACCAGUAUCAGUCACUGAUAGGUGAGUGGAUCGAGCGCUCGGCUUUGGUGCGGUCCGCCUGAGUUCUAAUCCCGGUUGUGAUUUUUUUCCUGCCGAUUUUCCAUGUUUUCUCUAAGUGAUGUUUAAUGACGUUCUUUGUCAUACUUUCACUUACAGAAUUCAUUUUAGUCUUAAACAAAAACCCCAAGUCCUAAUACAAACCACUGUGUCCACUCAGUGCAAUAUACACUAUCACCGCGCACAAGCGGGACUCAGACGUUGUAGCGCACACACACUCAUUGGUGUGCUACACCCAGCUUCGCCUUCUCGCUGGCUCCGGAAAAGAAGGUGGCGGUAAUGCACCAAGAAGCUGGAGGCCAACCGCCGAAGAAUAAGAACAAGAAGAAGAAGAAGAAGAAGGAGGAGGAGGAGGAGGAGGAGGCGGCUGCUCGCUGGAAGGUAACCACAGUUGGAUUUCGUCAGAGAUUCAUCAAACCCUUUUCAGCCUUUGCACAGCCUCUGGAUCACCUUUGGUUUUUUUGGACAUCUUUCAAAGCCUUGCAUACUUCCAAUAUGCCACGCAGAGGAAAACGCUCCCAGGCCCAGAUCGACCGUAGGAGGAAGCCUAACGCGUCCGAGCUGCCCGACAAGCCCGUGGACGUGCCUCCCUGCUCCCACUCUGUCCUGAACAAGGUUCUGGUAUCAACGACCACGGAAAUCUGUGCUGAUGGUGCUCCAGUUCCACAGAUCGGACAAGCUGUUGAAACUUUGCCCUCCACUGCUCAGUAUGCUGCUCCAUCUGAGGUUCUGGUAUCAACGACCACAACACUCUGUGCUGAUGGUGCUCCAGUUCCAAAGAUCGGAAAAGCUACUGAAACUUUGCCCUCCACUGAUCAGCAUGCUGCUCCAUCUGAGGUUCUGGUAUCAACGACCACAACACUCUGUGCUGAUGGUGCUCCAGUUCCAAAGAUCGGAAAAGCUACUGAAACUUUGCCCUCCACUGAUCAGCAUGCUGCUCCAUCUGAGGAUACAACCAGGAGCCACGGUCAACGUGUCGAGUCGCUCCGGGCCAGUCAUUCUCAAAAUGACACAAGGUAUCGGGUAUUUUCGCGCAAUCGUCAGUGUACCUGUAAUGCACUGAUGUUUCUCGCGUACCAGUCAGAGGGCUGUCACUUCACCAGGACUACACUCAAUAGAGUCCUGGCAAAGGGAAAUACUUUAUACGUCAAAAACAAACGGCAAUUGAUUGACAACAACAAAUUUCAGAACAAUCAUCUGACUGUCGAGGAGAUGCCAAAACGAGUCAAGACAGACGAACAUUUCUACAAUGUCAGCAGAGAUGAUAUCCGUUGUGGCCCUAUCAAAAUCGUCCCAUCUAGCCCUGAAAGACAACAGGGGUUGGUUCCACUUGCUACCCAGCUGGAGUCUCUUACAGCAGAGGUAAGCCUGGCGUUAAUUGUCAUAGCGCCAGAUUGUAUCGCGGUUUUCCGUGACCAGUACGGUCGGUAUGGACUUUUUGAUUCCCACUCCCGAGACUCAACAGGCUUACCCUCUUCCAACGGCAAGGCCAUUAUGAUGACUUUUGCAGCACUCAGUGACCUGGCUGACCACCUCAACGCAUUGUAUGGAAAACGUCAUAACUCUGCCAGCUAUGAGUUUGUUCCUGUUUACUUCCACCGUGACACUGACAGUGAACUUUCUCAAGAGUCUACUGUGAACCAAGGCCGUAAUGAUGUGUCUGAAAAUAAUAUCCGUGUAUUUCAGUCAGACAGUCGGACCGCUGUCUCAGACAAAUCUGAAGAGUAUCUGCAAAGUUCCUUAGCUGUGCCACCAACGUCAAAAAAGCUCUCUAAACUGAGCAAAGCCAUGAGGCGAAAAGUCAUGAGGAGAGCCCGUCAGCAGCAGCAACAGACAUCGGCUAAGGACAAAGCAAGGUCUCAAGGGAACAGACAAAAAAAAAGAAGUCACGAAAGGGAGAGAUAUGCCAGCUGUGCCACGUUUCAGCAGAAAAAAGUUGCCACACAGAAGGCUCGAUAUGCAAACGACAGCCAUCGUGUGCAUAAGCUGUCAUCAGUUGGACGCUACUAUGCAAAAUGUAACGUGCAAAUCAGGAAACAAUUUGUCGACAGAUACAGGACAGAUCCUGCUUUUCAGAGCAGACGAAAAAACUACGUAGUGCAGAGAUACAGGACAGAUCCUGCUUUUCAGAGCAGACAGAAAAACUACCUAGCGCAGAGAUACAGGACGGAUCCUGCUUUUCAGAGCAGACAGAAAAACUACCUAGCGCAGAGAUACAGGACGGAUCCUGCUUUUCAGAGCAGACAGAAAAACUACCUAGCGCAGAGAUACAGGACGGAUCCUGCUUUUCAGAGCAGACAGAAAAACUACCUAGCGCAGAGAUACAGGACAGAUCCUGCUUUUCAGAGCAGGCAGAAAAAUUACGUAGUGCAGAGAUACAGGACAGAUCCUGCUUUUCAAAGCAAGCAGAAGAAGCACAAUGCCCAGAGGUACAAGACGGAUCCACAGUACAGGCUACAUCACAUCCAACGCUGCAGCCUGCUGAAAAAACGUAAGUUGGCCAGUUUUUCUUGUCAACAGCGUUACAAGUGGCAGAAUGCACGGCGCAUCAUGAGGAAGUAUCGACACCUUCGUACCCCUUGCCAGCCAGUCAAUACAUUGAUGACAGCAGCAAUAGCAGCAUUUCGUAACACCAUCAGUCAUGGACCUACAUACGUCUGCACAGUCUGCCACAGGACGAUGUUUCCAAAUCAAGUAAAGCUCUGUAAGAGAGACAAAUACUCCACCAGCGUUAAAGUGGCAGAAGCUUGCUUGACCGGAAGCUACGUUCAUGUUUGUGCUGCCGAGUGCUCCUCCCCUUGCUCUCUGCCACCAGAGAGACUGCAGGAGUGGAUCUGCCACAACUGCGACAGCCACCUCAGCAGAGGAAGAAUCCCGACACAUGCAGUAGCAAACAAUUUGCAAUUAGCACCCAUUCCCCCGGAACUGGACCAACUCAACGUGCUGGAAAGACAGCUCAUUGCCAAAGUAUUGCCGUUCGCAAAGAUUAUCGCUUUGCCAAAAGGACAGCAGCGAGCAGUGCACGGAGCUGUUGUAUGUGUUCCAUCAGAGGUGGAAAGCGUCGUCAACAGUCUUCCACGUCCCCGCACCGAAGCACAGCUACUGCAUGUGAAAUUGAAGCGCCACAUACGUUUCAAAGGCCACCAGCACUUUUACAUGGUCAACGUGAAGAAGAUGCUGACAGCCCUGGAAAAACUCAGAGAGCAACACUCUGAGUACACAGAUGUAACCAUAGACGAGGAGGCUGCGUUCCAAUACCUACUCCAGGAUUCGGACGACGACAACAGCAACGAUGAAGAUUCAUCACAGCGGGGAGAUGACAUCCCAGACGAGGAGCUGCUUCAAGCGUGUGACAGCUGCACUGAACCACUCCAGGCCAACUCGGCUGCAAACACGACCACAGAACGGCAGAAGGAGCUAAGACCUGGACUUGCACUGGACACCUGCAUGCAGCCACCAGACAUCGCCCAGGAAAUUCUUUCCUACGGUGAUGGCAUUUUCAGCGUUGCCCCUGCUCAAGGCAACAAACCUGUGGGAUUUUUUGCAAUCCCCAAACUGGAAGCCAUGGCCUUCCCCGUUCAGUUUCCCACGGGACAGAACACACUGGAUGAAGACCGUCCCAUCAAGCUUUCACCCAGCAGGUAUUUUAACGCCAGACUUUUUGGAGCGGACACUCGCUUUGCCGAGGACCAAAGCUACCUUUUUUUUGCGCAGUUUGUGUCGGAGACAAACAUUGCAAGGGGCAGUAUGUCUAUCCAAAUGCGCAAAGGAAGGAAACGCACGAGCGACGGGCGUGUCGUGAAAAACUCCAUGCUGCAAAACAAAGAAGAGCUGGAGCGCCUAAUUCAGGCCAGAGAGGCCCUGCGAUUCAUGCAGCCUCUGAGAGGCACGCCUGCAUAUUGGCACAAAAGCCUAAAGGAUUUGCACGCGAUGCUGAGGCAACUCGGCAAGCCCACCUUCUUUGUGACUUUUUCAGCGGCAGAGAUGAGAUGGCCUGAAGUCAUUCAGGUCAUCAAAGCACAGCAAGGUCAGACACUUGCUGACUUUUCAGAGCUCGACUGGAAAUCCAAGUGCGACAUCCUGCGCAGCAACCCCGUCACAGUCAUGCGAAUGUUUCACCAUCGGGUUAAUGCGCUUAUGGCAGACCUCAUUCUCUCACCAGCGCAACCAAUCGGCGAGGUGGAGGAUUAUUUUUACCGUGUGGAGUUUCAGGCUCGAGGAAGCCCACACAUCCACAUGCUAGUGUGGGUCAAAGACGCCCCUGUGUACGGCGAGGACUUGGAUCAAGUUGUCUGCAAGUACAUCGACCGUUACAUCUCCUGCAAGAUGCCUGACCCCAAGGAGGACCCAGAACUCCACAAAAUUGUGUCGGAAGUUCAGGUCCACAGCAAGAGCCACUCUUUUUCGUGCAAGAAGGGCAACGUAGUCUGUCGUUUUGGCUUCCCCAAGCUGCCAUUUGACAACACCUGGAUCACGAAUCCGUGCGAGUGCGAAGUGGAGAUGGAAGAGGAAGAGGAAGAGGAAGAGGAAGUGGUCCGACAGGCAUGGAGAGAACGGAUCCAAAGGCAGCAGCAGGACGCCAAGGAGAAGCUUCAGCACCUCAGACAACUCCUUAUGGAUCCAAAGGCUUCAUUCAAGGACUUGUCAGAUCUCCUCCAGCGUUGCAACUUGGAGCGUGACAUCUACAUGAACUGCGCCGAAAAACUGACCAGCGGGAGCGUGGUAAUGCUGAAGCGGCAUCCAAACGACUGUUGGGUCAAUGCGUACAACCCAGACCUUCUCCGCGCUUGGAACGCCAACAUGGACAUCCAGUACGUGCUGGACGAGUACAGUUGCGCCAUGUACAUGAUGUCGUACAUGACCAAGCCGGAGCACGAAAUGACCGAAUUCUUGAAGUCGGUCGUAAAGACGGCGAGGGAGUCCGACCUCAACCAGCAGCAGGAAAUGAGGAGGAUCAUGCAGGCCUACGCGAAGCACAGAGAGGUAAGCGCCCAGGAAGCGGUGGCUCGCACGUGCAGCCUCCCUUUGAAAAAGUGCUCCAGGUCUGUCAUCUUCCUGUCAACGGACGAAGACGGGAUGAAGAUGAGUCUUCCCAUGAGUCGGCUGAACGACAUGGCACCCGAGUCCGAGGAGGUGUGGAUGAUGGGGGUACCUGACAAGUACCUGUUCAGACCACAGACUCGUGAGUUCGAGGGAAUGUGUCUGGCCGAGUUUGCGUCGGACUACAGGGUAAUCUACGGACAGCACGCUCAACGCAACAGUGCGAUUGCCCUCCGCGACAACAAAGGCUACAUUGCCAAGAGGACAGCAGGAAGAGAAGCAGUCAUCCGAUUCGCGCGUUUCUCAGAGACCAAAACACCAGAGAAGCACUUCAGGCGACUUCUGAAGCUGUACCUGCCACACCGAUCGGACCACCAGCUCAACGACGGAGGUCGUACCACGUACGAAGACUUCUACAAAUUUCGUCCUGAUGUGAAGCGCAUCGUGGACAAUAACAAGAAGCGGUACGAGGAAAAAGGCGCAGGCAUGGACAAGGCACUCCAACGCGUCGAGGAAGGUCCAGUCCUCAACGCUUGGAACUCCUUUGCACCCGAAGUUGAGGUUGACCGACAGGAGUGUCUUAACCUGCGACAAACUGUCACGGAGGACAACGAAGAGGACGCCGUCCCGGACUUUGACGUUAGCUUACCAGCUCCCAGGAUCGAGGUGCCUCGGUUGAGUCCGGACUUUGUCCGGAAGAUGUUUCAGAGUCUGAACGAGACCCAGGCAUGCAUCUUCUAUGCUGUGCGGCAAUGGUGCCUUCAGCGUGUGUGGGGCCACAAUCCAGAACCGUUUCACUACUUUGUUUCAGGUGGAGCUGGAUGUGGUAAGUCCCACGUCAUAAAGUGCAUUCACGAGGAAGCAACGAGGAUUCUGCGGGAGCUCCCCAGAUUCCGAGACAUGGCUGACAUGUCCCAGCCAGCUGUGCUUCUGACGGCCUUCACAGGCACAGCAGCCUUCAACAUCGCGGGCAAAACGUUGCACUCUGUCCUCAAGCUUCCUAGGUCCUUGGAGCCGCCAUACCAGGGCCUUGGCAAUGCACUUGACGAACUUCGAGCGUCAUUGUCUUCCGUUGAGAUUCUCAUCAUCGACGAAAUUUCCAUGGUUUCCAAGAAGCUGUUUGCCUACGUCAACUGGCGUUUCCAGCAGCUGAAGGGAAACCGCAGACCUUUCGGCGGCGUUUCCAUUCUUGCAGUCGGCGACUUUUACCAGCUACCACCGCUGGGCAGGGCCAAGCCGCUCUGCGUCUAUGAAGAUACGGAGUUCGAUCUCUGGAGAGAUCACUUUUCCAUUGUCAACCUUACGGAAAUCAUGCGGCAGAAAGAUGACCGCGCUUUUGCCGAACUCCUCAACCGACUGCGAGUCAAGCGCAAGGAGGAUCCUUUGAGUCUCGCGGACCGCGAAUUACUCUUACGGGCCGUCUCGGACGGUAAGGACCUUCGAGGAGAAACGCUCCAUGUCUUUGCCACGAACAAGCAGGUGGACAGUCACAACGCAGACGCUGUGAGUUCCCUGCUUGAACAACAGAUCACCAUCGUGGCACAAGAUUUUCGAAAGGACGUUACAACAGGAAGGAAGGUCCCCGUGCAAAAUGUCACCGGCACAAAAACAGAUUUGCCUGACAGCAUAGUGGCUGGUGAAGGAGCACGCAUCAUGUUGAUCAGGAAUGUCAACGUAGAAGAUGGACUCGUCAACGGGACAUUCGGGACCAUCUUCACCAUGGUGACCGACAACCAUGAUCCCAAAGCCGUGAGACUUCUUGGUCUCCGGCUGGACAACCCCACAGCAGGACAGACUCUGCGAAAGAAGCUGCUGGGCCCCACGGACGACUUGGUCUACAUCGAGAGAUCCGAGGAGAGCUUCGGUCGCAAAGGCGGAGUAGUUAGACGCCAGUUCCCCAUCAAGCUGGCUUUUGCGUGUACGGCCCACAAAGUGCAAGGCAUGACGGUGACGUCGGCUGUGGUGAGCCUGAAACGCGUGUUUCAGCCAGGCAUGGCAUACGUUGCACUCAGCCGCACCACAUCUCUUCAAGGUCUUACCAUCACAGACUUUGAUGAAAAGAAGAUCUACGCGGACCCCACCAUCACCACAGCUUUGCGGGACAUGCGCAGCGCCAGUUUCCAGGGCGUUACUCCACUGCUGAACUUUGGGAAGCUGACUGACCGACCCCGCAACACCGUGACAGUCAUCCACCACAAUACACAAGGGCUUCCAUCUCACAUUGUGGACCUGAGGGCGCAUCCCGAACUUAGGUUGGCAGAUGUGCUGUGUCUUACCGAGACGCAUCUGUCAGGGCCCCCUGUAUCUCCAUCCUUUCAUCUGGAAGGAUACACCAUGUCUGAACGUAGCAGACCGGAAUCUUACGAUUCAGGUUCAGACAUGGCAGCAAAGGCAGGUGGUGGAGUGGCUAUAUAUUACAAAAACACGUUGACUGCAGAGGCUCCUAGAUGGACGCAUGUCAUGGGUUUGGAGUGUUUGGCCGUCAAAGUUGAGGCGCCAGUCAAAAUGCUUGUAGCGACUGUCUAUAAACCCCCAAAUUAUGCUUUGCUAAGGUUUUUGCAAAGCCUCAACACCCUCUUGGACACAUUGGAGCUCAUGAAUCACCAACCCAUUGUUGUUUGUGGUGACUUCAAUGAAGACCUCCUUUCCAGAGGUCACAAAAGCAUCAGAGAUGCAUUUCUGUCCAGAGGCUACACGCAAUUGGUUAAUGAGUCUACCACAGACAAGAACACUCUGAUUGAUCACAUCUAUAUUUCUCAGCCAGAGAAAUGUGUUCAGUCAGGUGUUCUCCAAAGUUACUAUAGUUAUCACAGUCCCAUCUACUGUAUUUUGACUGACUGAAGCGUCACAAACCACCCAACACGCGGCCUGUAUAUAGUUCAAAGGGGUAAGUAUGAUUUUCCCUGGCCCCUUUGCAGUUGACCGGAACCCCGAGUUAGGCAGCAUCCGGAGACAUAGACCUUGGUGCUCUAAUCCUCAGCAACUGAAGAAUAUUACCUCUCUGUUGGGUAAGUAACCUCAGUUAAUGUGAGAAUUUAAGAGGCUCACACCAAGGGCACACUGGAGAGACUGUCUCUCUCAGCUCGACUGGAAACACCAUGAGAUCCCCCAGGAAGAGCUAGAUGACGUUGCCAGGUAGAACAACAUGUCUCGGGUAAGAACACAUCAUACAAUUUUCUGCUUGUUUCCCAUGUAAUGUGCUCAGUUAGUUUUAUCUCAGACUACAGAACGAAGACUCCAGUCCACAAAGCGUUUGGAGAGCCCAAAUCCAUAGAGAACCCACCUGGACAGUCCCUACGUAAUCCCUGACAUCGAUGAUUACAACGUAGUCCACUCACAAGAACCACCACCCCACCCACAACCCCCUUUCCCAGACAUCCACUCCUCUGGAACAUCUCCAGAACCUGCCUACAAACAUGUCUCAGAAUUCAGACUCCACUUUCUGUCAUCAAGUGACCAGUGAUGCUGCAAUGUCGGCCGAUGGCCUGUAUAGGUCCGGUAACGGUUGUGGCUCCGUAUCUGCUUCACAGCCAUGAGGACAGAUGUUUCAGAAAAAGAACACUCACUACUCCCAAGCAAAAUUCACUCUUCAGUUGAAACCUUCACAGAUUUCUUGGUUUUUUUUUCCCACUACACAAUGUUGUUCUGGGGUUUUUUCCCAUGCUUGCGGGUUAUAGUGACUACAUGUUUUAACAAAAAUGUGAUCAAAAUAAGAUUUAUGUACAUAUGUUGAAAGUUGUUAAAAUUAAAAUGUAUGUGUAUCUGGAAA